UACGUAGGGUGCGAGCGUUGUCCGGAAUUACUGGGCGUAAAGAGCUCGUAGGCGGUUUGUCGCGUCGUCUGUGAAAUUCUGCAACUCAAUUGUAGGCGUGCAGGCGAUACGGGCAGACUUGGGAUACUCAGGGGGAGACUGGAAUUCCUGGUGUAGCGGUGAAAUGCGCAGAUAUCAGGAGGAACACCGGUGGCGAAGGCGGGUCUCUGGGUAGUAACUGACGCUGAGGAGCGAAAGCGUGUGUAGCGAACAGG
rnacentral:rRNA from 1 species